CGAAGAUUUUUAGGGGCGCACGGCGGAUGCCUUGGCAUCGGAAGUCGACGAAGGGCGCGGCAAGCCGCGAUAGUCCCCGGGGAGGAGCAAACGUCCACGGAUCCGGGGGUGCCCGAAUGGGGAAACCCGCGCGGGGUCAUGCCCGCGCACCC
rnacentral:rRNA from 1 species